CACACAGACUCGCAGAGAGAGAGAGAGAGAGAGAGAGAGAGAGAGCGCGGUGGAGACGCGCGGACAGCUCCAGUCAGUAGUACUUGAGUCAGUCAGGCACAGGCAGCCGUGAGGAACCGGGGAGAGGGAGCAGCAACACACCGCCUCCCCAACAACACCGACACCACCACCGACAACACUACUGACAUCCACAGCGCUCACUCACCCAGCGGAGGUGAAGGACGAGACCCGCCGGUCUGAGAGGCUCUCUCCGCGCCGGACUCGCCGCGUGUCCGCUCCGAGGAGCUCCGGAAACUUGUGGAAUUUACCGGGGAAACUGAAGAGAGACCGAGGCUACCUCUGACUCCUGACACCACUGCGCUUACUAUCCUCUCUACGUGUUUUUUUACCAGUUUAUUUCACCUUUUUAUCUUUUUAUCGCGUGUUUUUGAUUUUUGCAUUUUUUGUUUUUGAGAACGUGAACUGCCCGCGAGCGACAGAGCGUGCGUGUUUGUGUGUUUUUCUGUGUGAGUGAGGGAAAUACAGCGGAACGAGAGAGAGAGAUAGAGAUUGUGUGUGUGUGAAAGAGAGAGAGAGAGAGAGAAAGAGAGAGUGAGAGGAGAAGAAACUGCAGCUUUGGCCGCUGACAGACAGCAGCAGCACAGCGUUAUUAGCAGCACCAGCUCUUCUCAUUCUCCUGGUUUCCGCUGCUUCUUCUUCUUCUCUUCAUUAUUAUUUCUGGACGCGGUGAGUCAGUCAGUUAAUCAGAGCAGCUCCAGCUCCAGCAGCUCCAGCGGCUGCACUUGUUCCUCCUGCCCGCUUCCCUCGCACUGUAACCGGCUCCACUCCUCCAGCGCGCUCGCCCCGCUCCCGCGUUAGUUAUUAUUUUAUUUAGACAGUGAGUGUUUGUGAGCGUGUGUGAGAGCUUCGGGGGCCUCAGCUGUGGUAAAUUGUUUGGAAUAUGGUGGGGGAAAUGGAAGCGAAGGAGAAGCCGAAGCCCAGCCCAGACUAUCUGAUGCAGCUGAUGAACGACAAGAAGCUGAUGAGCAGCCUGCCCAACUUCUGCGGCAUCUUCAACCACCUGGAGCGGCUUCUGGACGAAGAGAUCAGCAGGGUACGGAAGGACAUGUACAACGACACAUUAAACGGCAGCACGGAGAAGAGGAGCUCAGAGCUGCCGGAUGCUGUGGGUCCCAUCGUUCAGCUCCAGGAGAAGCUCUAUGUUCCAGUGAAAGAAUACCCUGACUUUAAUUUUGUGGGCCGGAUCCUGGGUCCGCGGGGGCUCACCGCCAAGCAGCUGGAGGCUGAGACAGGAUGCAAGAUCAUGGUGAGAGGCAAAGGUUCAAUGAGAGACAAGAAAAAGGAGGAGCAGAACCGAGGAAAGCCAAACUGGGAGCACCUAAAUGAAGACCUGCAUGUCCUGAUUACAGUAGAAGACGCUCAGAACCGUGCCGAGAUCAAGCUGAAGCGGGCCGUGGAGGAGGUCAAUAAGCUACUGGUUCCUGCGGCUGAAGGCGAGGACAGUCUGAAGAAGAUGCAGUUGAUGGAACUGGCCAUUCUAAACGGCACCUACAGGGACGCCAACAUUAAAUCGCCUGCCCUUGCCUUCUCUCUUGCAGCGAGUGCCCAGGCACCCCGCAUCAUCGCCGGCCCCGCCCCUGUCCUGCCGCCGGCAGCCCUGCGCACCCCCACGCCCGCUGGCCCCACCAUCAUGCCCCUCAUCCGUCAGAUCCAGACUGUCAUGCCCAACGGCUCGGCCCACCCGGCCGCCGCCGCCACCCUGGUGCCACCUGGCCCCGAGUCGGCGGGCCUGAUCUACGCUGCGCCUUACGAGUACCCGUAUACACUGGCACCCGCAACAUCCAUCCUGGAGUACCCCAUCGACUCCAGCGGGGUGUUAGCGUCCUCAAAGGCCGAAGAGCUGCCCCUCUACCUGGGCUUUCAGACCUGUCACUUUCCCAUCACUGUCCAGCGUGGAGAGCCCACCAGCCGGCCUCCAUUUUAAAGCAGAACCCCUCACCACCUGCACCACCACCACCCCCUUACCCUUUUUCCCUUUUCCCCCUUUCCCUUUUUUCCCCCUCUUCCCCCUUUCCUGACCCGCAUUCACUCUUCCAACGGCCACACCCACUGCACUCCACACCCCACCACCCCAGUCCCUGCCCCACAACCGCCCGUCUUAUCGGACUGACCAGAAAGCGGCUCCUCGGAGGCUCUUUCACUGUUUAUCUCUUCUGCAACCUUCAUGCCUUGUCCAUUCUUUUUCUUUUUUUGAUUUGUUCUUUUGUAUUCAGAUUAAUUUGUUUUCAAUUGUAAUGAAAUGUGCUGUGUUGAAACUGUGUGUGUCAUAAUGAGGGAGAUACAAAAAAAAAAAGAGCACUGAGCCCCAAACUGCUGCAAAACCUUCUCUGGAUGCUCCCUCCAUUCCCCGCUCUGAUAGGGCGGGUCAGUCCGGAGGGGGGGUCAGGAGGGGUAACAUGACGACGGUGAGGGGACAGUGGGGGUCAGACAGGGGCUGCUUUGGGAGAUGUUAGAGAGGGCAGUGGUACAUCUGUUCUAAAUACAGCAGCUCUGUUCGCACAGCCAUUGUAGGACAGUUCAGCAGAGUGUUUACAGUAAAAGAUACAUAAAGAUAAAAGUGGAAUACAGGAGGGCUUGGCCUAACCAGCUCAGAGGGGCCUUACUUCUCAGGGUCGUAGGGUCCCGCACACGACUCGGACUGUCCUAGAACGGCUGUGCCGAUGCAGGAGACUGUAGUGUGUGUUGCUUUCCGAGGACAGACACUCCUGGCACUAAUUUCCCAUUCCCUUCCUUUAUUCUUUAGGUGUGGCUUUCCCCACGAAAGGCUAAAAGCGCUUUUGAGGAUCCUUACACUGAGCCCCUCAUCCGAUCUGAGUGUUAACACACGUGCGCUUUUUGUUUCACAGCGGCCUUGUUAUUGAUGAACCAUGAUUAUGUGUCUAGCAGUCAGACACACUACUGUUGUUUUUUUGUUUUUUGUUUGUUUGUUUGUUUGUUUACACUGGCCAUUCCUCGCCCAAAGAGGCUCAGCUUCUAGCACAUAUAUAUACUGUUUAUUUAUUUAUUGUCGCUGUUGUACAAAAACCUUGUGUUGAGUAAAAUUUUUGUGUAUAAUUUCUUAAUUUCUUAGUUGUUCUUUACUUUUUUUUUUUCAAAUGUUAUGAUUAAUGGACCAAUAGAAAAGCUCUAAAAAUUCUAAAAGUCCAAAUUAACUUAAAUUCGACUCUUAUGAAAUUGAGUUAAAGCAGAAAUCCAGUGUGAAAUAGACUUGGGUUGUAGUGAAACAUGAUAAGUAUGAACUUUUGUCAAUUAGCCCAUCUCUGUUCACCCCCAGCAUUCUGAAAUAUAGCACUUUAAAUAUAACACUGUUGCUCCCAACAGGCUUAUAAUGCUAGUGAUAGGGACAUAAUAUUGCCCAUGCACAGAAAUACCUCAAUUAAAAGCUUAAAGUAGCUCCGUACUUCAUUGAUAGAAUUUUGAGGGCUCUGACAUUUAAAACAAGGUACUGAGAACUUUAAAAGUGUGCAGGUAGUUUAUUUAAAAAAACUUAUACACACAGUACCUUUAAAUGGGCAACGUUAUGCCCGUAUCACUACUAUCAUAAACCUGUUGAGAGCAUAAAACGGCUAAAAGUGCUGUAUUUCAGAAUGCUGGGGGUGUACAUAGGUGGUAUAUAUUUUAGAAUGCUGGGGUUAGUAUAUAUAUAUAUAUAUAUAUAUAUAUAGUCACCAUCAUACAAAAGCCCAAUAUACACUUUUUUUACUUUUAAAAAAUAAUGUGAAUGUGGCACUUGUUCUUUAUAUUGGGUUUUUUCCUUCUUUUGUAAAGUUUCAGUUUACCAGUUACCAGAAGGUUUUUGUCCUACAGCGACAAUAUAUACAUAUAUAUGUGUGUGUGUGUGUGUGUUUGUUUGUGUGUGUGCGUAGUUACGGGACUGUUCUACUGACUGUGUGUGUUCUGGUUUAGGAAAAAGAAAAAUAUGAACAAAAAAACAUCAACUAAGAUCUUGCUUUACUAAUCACUUAAUUCACCGCUGUUGUGAUUAAUUUUAAUUUUAUUUUUUUUUUUACUACUGCAGACGUGCCUAUAAGCGAACGCUAUUAUCUCUGUGCCUUUGCUCAGAGAGCGAGUGUAUCAGUAUUAUAUUUAAAUGUGGAACUGUGGAGACAUGCACUUUCCUGUUGUUGCUCCUACGCAGGAAUUAUGUGACUAGUAAAGCCUCCCCUCUAUGUGUGUGUGUGUGUGUCCGUACAUAAACGUGUGCUUGUCAAUUAUCAUGUCCGUCAUACUGUAUCCAAGCAACGCAUGGGUCCACUUGGGAUGAAUGCAACCAUGUUUUUUUUUCCUUUUUUUAUUUUCUUAUAUUAUUAUUUUUUUUUUAUUGCUAGUUUUACAGAUGAAAGACAAGUAUUAUUUGUGCCUUAACUUGUAUGUUGAUGAUUCUUCUUAUUUUGGGUGAAUUUGGUUCUACAGAUAUACUGUAUGCCUCCUGUCCACUCUUUGUCUUAAAUUUGAUCUGUUGAUCUUGGGAUUUGUGAAUUCUUGAUUGAUCUAACCUGUGUUGUUGGUGAUAUGAUUGCAAUCCAAGCAGGUGCAGUGACAACAAAAGUACGAAGGCACGAAAUGCGGGUCCAUCCUUACCAAAGGGUAGUGACCACAGACAGAGCCACCACCGGCAACUAACAAUCUGACCUUCUGACCUCUCAACUUCACCCAAUGAUGACCUGCCCAUUACCUGCCUGCAGAUCACUUCUCUCAACUUCUCUCUCUCUCUAAACAUAAUAAAUGAUGAACAAAACGCACACAAGAGUGUGUUUAAACAGCCUUCACUUGACAGCAGAGUGGCGGAGUGGAGAAGUGGCUUUCCUGCAGCCGAGUCGACGUACGUAUGGACGCAGGCCAGUGGCUGGAACAGAAGACGUCCACGCCAGUUGGUACGAAUGGUCUGCUCCAAAAGUGGACCACCUGCCCCUGCAGAUCUGCACUCAGUCAUUUGUAAAAGCAAUAAGCAAUAACGCCCAAUUAGCCCAAUCUUCUCCACAACGGCAGACUGACUUCUCCACUCAACGAAGGCUUCACACUCCAACCUACAGCCCCAAAUACUGUAUACUGACCUCCAGACCCAGACCCAGCCUUCCGUCACGGGAAAAGCAUACACCUGCCGCAUUGCCCGUCUGUUGGUAACAGCUCUAUCUAUCUGAAUGUAUGAUAUGAUGUGUGAUAUGAUGGUGUGGCCUCAGUGCAUGCACCAUACAGUCGGCUCCUCCUAGUACAUGACAGAACUCAGCUGAUACAUCAACUGUCCAACUGGUGUGACUUUUUAAAUUUGGGGAAGGUAAGACAGACGUCGUAGCGUCAAAACAGCAAGGGACACGUGUCAAAAAACAAGCAUUUCCCCCCCCCCUCCCCUCUCCUCCAAAACAAUCGGACACUAUUCAGUGGACGAGUUUCUCUGAGGAUGUAUAAGCCAUGCUUGCCUAUCUGCUGUACAAAAUGUAUGAAAUUUGUAGAUAAAAAAAAUGUUUAAAAAGAAAAAAACAGAAUCCGCGAGACAAAGAACACGUGUACAGAAAAGAAACCUUUUAUUAUCCUCCUCUGCAGUGGAACAAACAGAACAUAUCUAUAUUUUUACAAUUACAGACUUUUAUACUCGCAAGUAUUGUCAAGGGAAAGACAAAAAAAGAAAAAAAUAAUAAUAAUAAAAAACUAAAACAGAUCAAACCGAAACCCUUUAUGAAGUGAAAACAAUCCAGUUUUCUGUAAUUGGAUGUAGAAACGGAUGACCAAAACAGCCCUCUCCUCUUGUCGACGGAGGGUUGAAAUGGAAACAUUACAAAAGUGCCUUAUCGUGGUUCUCUUCGAUCUGAAUGUGUCAUCAUUAGUGGCGAAUGAGCAGACCAGAGCUCAGUGCACGCAGCUUUCUCUGAGUGCAGGAAGAUGCCAUCAGCCUUCCGUGCUCAUCUUAUAUUUCCCCUUCAGUUUAAGCAGCUGAUUUGAUGGCUGGAUUUAAAUUCUAAAUCUGAAUCCUUAAACUUGCUUAAAAAGGCUUGUAGUCUUCAGUAACAUCAGUAACUACUGUGAAUUUUCCAGUUACUGCAGGAAAACCCUUUUUAUUUCAAUUUUACGUUGAGUAUGUAAGAUGUGAAUGGGCUAACCUAUAGGCGUUCAGUGUUUAGGAAGUUUUUAGACUGUUCAAUUUUGUAUAAAUUCACCCUAAAUUUACCCUCAAAUAUUUUAAAGUUUGGAAUCAGAGGCCCGUUAAGAAAUUUCUUAGAAAGUCAUUGGUAAAACAGGCGAUUCAGUCAGAAGCCUAGAAUGAACAUACUGUGUUCAAUAACGUAAUAAAAUAUAUACAAUAAAAUGUGUUUGUAAUCUAAAGAAAAAAAACGUAUAAAAACUUAUAUGAACUUGUGAAAAUAUAUGAAAUAUUAGUUGUACCAGUAUGAUGAACUGGACACAUCUCCAGACAAUAUUGAGUUUCCAAAGUGGUCAAAAGUGUGAGAAUGAUUGUUAUAUUAUUUUAUCAUUUAUAGUUUUAUAAUAGCUCUUUUUAGAGCAAUAAUAGCCAUUUUACACAAUACACUUAUUGAAAUAAAAGGUUUUACAUACUGUAUGAAAAUAGGUUCUUUUGUCCUUUUUUGGUGCUACAGACAACCAUUCAUAACCUCUAAAUGUUUUUUAGUUAUAGAAAAUUUAACCAGACAAAAAAUAAUCAUAAAUGUGCGAUCCUAAGACCCCAAACUUUUUCUUUGGGUGCAUUUUUAAUUUAUCCUAUAUAUUUGGGAUUAGCAAACAUUUUUGCAAAAAUCAAUUUCAUCAUAUGGGGAAGUAAGUGUCUGGACUGGCUGUAGAAACUUUUGACUGGGAUUCCCAUUAUCGUGUUUUUAAUGAAUUGAGUCUGUAAAUGUCGUCCAAAAUGUGACCACCAGAUGUAAUGGACAGUGUUUCCAUAUGGGGCCAAAUGAUCAAUGUUUUAACAAAUUGAGUAUCAUGGUGCGGAGAAUCAGAAAUGUAAUAUAUGAUAUAUGAUAAAUGUCCAUAUAUGAGUAUGCAGGGUCUCAAGAGGUUAUAGAACAAUUCGAAAGAACUAAAGAACUAUCCCAUUAGUAAUUAUAACAUGUGUUUAAAAUGUAUGAAAUGUAUGUUUUUUAUCAGGUUUAAGCAUAUUAUCAUUGUCACACAAAAAUCUCAUCCAAAAGAAUAAAAAAAUAAAUAUUGGCUUUAAUUAGAAGUUAUUGUAAAAUUAAUUUAUUUUGUGAAACAUUUGAGUCGAUGCAUUUAUUGUGAUUUUUUUUUAUAAAACUCCCAAUUUCAAAAAGUUUAAAAACAUCAAAUAUUAUAAAAGUUAUUAUAGAAGAACACAAUGUGAAUUUUUAGUGUGAAGCAGGAAUAGCUUUGUGCCUAAAACCUUAUGCUUUCUGAUUGGGCUUAAACACUCAGCUCAAUAUUUAAUAUAUUACAACUGUGAACUGAAUAAACUGUACAGUAUUAGUCUCAGUGCUCAGUGCAGCCUAAAAUCGACAGACUGCACCGCAUUUAACAGCAUUUAACAGAGUUACGUGGGGGGGUUUAUUAUGAUGGAUUGCAUUAAAAUACAUUAAAUAAAGGUUGGAAUAUAAUGAACUGUAAGAGAGAAAGAAAGCUGCGUACACUGCCCAGCCUGGUCUGCACCAUAUUACUGUGUCGUGUGUCCCCCUAGACCCCGCCCCCAAAUCUUACUUUACUAUGCAACAGAAUGGCCUCUGACGUCUUGUGGGGAGCAUAUGUGUGUGUCAAUCAGACAUGUCUUCCUGUACCGUCCUCACGUCUCUCCACCAACACCACCACCACCACCACUACUACUAUUACUACUACUUUUCAGUACGGAUUCUGCAGUGCCAUGACAGUAUUGUUGUCAUCAUGAAGGUAUUAGAAUUGAUAGUCUUUUGAAAUAAAAUAAGAUGAAAUUAAAAAUGAAAUGACAUGAAAAUCGCCUGUUUGCCAAAAAAAAAAAAUGCUGUUUUUUUUGUGUAGAUUAUAAGAUAAACCAAUUUGAGAAACAGAUUUUUUUUUCUAAAGAGAAUAAAUGUUAUUAGAUGAUCAACAUCACAGGUUAUUGAUCUGCCCACGAGCGAAGAGUACCAUAUUUGACAUCGCAUGAUACUUUACUCCCCUUUGAUAGCAAAUAGUCCCAAUCUGGUUUCUUUUUUGGUUUUAAUGAAAUGAGUUUUAGUUUUUAUUCCAGAAUUAGUGAGAAUUGAUCAAUGUGAAUGUUCUUCAUGAUUGGAGUGAAUAAGUAAGUGUGUUACAGACCUACAGACUGAAGUUUCUCUGUGUUAGAUCCAUGAUGUGUGCGCCCCAUACCCAAGUAUUGCCUAUGAGAAAAUACGUAUGUCUGUAUCAACAGCCAUUGUUACAAGUUUAUACCGUAUUUUUCUAUCUUAUUUUUUAUGUAUGUAAUAAACUACAUUAAAUGCA